rnacentral:rRNA from 1 species
GUUGUAUGGUUAAGUGACUAAGCGUACACGGUGGAUGCCUUGGCAGUCAGAGGCGAUGAAAGACGUAGUAACUUGCGAUAAGCCCAGAUUAGGUAGUAACAACCAUUUGAGUCUGGGAUUUCUGAAUGGGGAAACCCACGUGCAUAAGCACGUAUCCUUACCUGAAUACAUAGGGUAAGGAGGCGAACCGGGGGAACUGAAACAUCUAAGUACCCCGAGGAAAAGAAAUCAACCGAGAUUCCGAAAGUAGCGGCGAGCGAAAUUGGACUAGCCCUUAAGCUUUACACGCGUUAGACGAACGGUCUGGAAAGUCCGACGAUACAGGGUGAUAGUCCCGUAGUUGACGACGUGUGUUCAGUGAAAUCGAGUAGGGCGGGACACGUGAUAUCCUGUCUGAAUAUGGGGGGACCAUCCUCCAAGGCUAAAUACUACUGACUGACCGAUAGUGAACCAGUACCGUGAGGGAAAGGCGAAAAGAACCCCUGUGAGGGGAGUGAAAUAGAACCUGAAACCGUGUACGUACAAGCAGUAGGAGCAGGCUUUGUCCUGUGACUGCGUACCUUUUGUAUAAUGGGUCAGCGACUUAUAUUCAGUGGCAAGGUUAACCAUCUAGGGGAGCCGUAGGGAAACCGAGUCUUAACUGGGCGUUCAGUCUCUGGAUAUAGACCCGAAACCAGGUGAUCUAGCCAUGGGCAGGUUGAAGGUUGAGUAACAUCAACUGGAGGACCGAACCGACUAAUGUUGAAAAAUUAGCGGAUGACUUGUGGCUAGGGGUGAAAGGCCAAUCAAACCUGGAGAUAGCUGGUUCUCCCCGAAAGCUAUUUAGGUAGCGCCUCGGACGAAUACUACUGGGGGUAGAGCACUGUUAAGGCUAGGGGGUCAUCCCGACUUACCAACCCUUUGCAAACUCCGAAUACCAGUAAGUACUAUCCGGGAGACACACGGCGGGUGCUAACGUCCGUCGUGGAGAGGGAAACAACCCAGACCGCCAGCUAAGGUCCCAAAUUACUACUAAGUGGGAAACGAUGUGGGAAGGCUCAGACAGCCAGGAUGUUGGCUUAGAAGCAGCCAUCAUUUAAAGAAAGCGUAAUAGCUCACUGGUCGAGUCGGCCUGCGCGGAAGAUGUAACGGGGCUAAGUAGUAAACCGAAGCUGCGGCAAUAUACUUUUGUAUAUUGGGUAGGGGAGCGUUCUGUAAGCGGUUGAAGGUGUGUGGUAACGCAUGCUGGACGUAUCAGAAGUGCGAAUGCUGACAUGAGUAACGAUAAAGGGGGUGAAAAACCUCCUCGCCGGAAGACCAAGGGUUCCUGUCCAACGUUAAUCGGGGCAGGGUAAGUCGACCCCUAAGGCGAGGCCGAAAGGCGUAGUCGAUGGGAAACGGGUUAAUAUUCCCGUACUUCUUACAAUUGCGAUGGGGGGACGGAGAAGGCUAGGUGGGCCUGGCGACGGUUGUCCAGGUUCAAGUGCGUAGGCUUAAGAGUUAGGUAAAUCCGGCUCUUUUUAAGGCUGAGACACGACGUCGAGCUACUACGGUAGUGAAGUCAUUGAUGCCAUGCUUCCAGGAAAAGCCUCUAAGCUUCAGAUUGUAAGGAAUCGUACCCCAAACCGACACAGGUGGUCGGGUAGAGAAUACCAAGGCGCUUGAGAGAACUCGGGUGAAGGAACUAGGCAAAAUGGUACCGUAACUUCGGGAGAAGGUACGCUCUUGAUGGUGAAGUCCCUUGCGGAUGGAGCUGACGAGAGUCGCAGAUACCAGGUGGCUGCAACUGUUUAUUAAAAACACAGCACUGUGCAAAAUCGUAAGAUGACGUAUACGGUGUGACGCCUGCCCGGUGCCGGAAGGUUAAUUGAUGGGGUUAGACUUCGGUCGAAGCUCUUGAUCGAAGCCCCGGUAAACGGCGGCCGUAACUAUAACGGUCCUAAGGUAGCGAAAUUCCUUGUCGGGUAAGUUCCGACCUGCACGAAUGGCGUAAUGAUGGCCACGCUGUCUCCACCCGAGACUCAGUGAAAUUGAAAUCGCUGUGAAGAUGCAGUGUACCCGCGGCUAGACGGAAAGACCCCGUGAACCUUUACUACAGCUUGGCACUGAACAUUGACCCUACAUGUGUAGGAUAGGUGGGAGGCUUUGAAGCACGUACGCCAGUAUGUGUGGAGCCGUCCUUGAAAUACCACCCUUGUAGUGUUGAUGUUCUAACGUCGACCCCUUAUCGGGGUUGCGGACAGUGCCUGGUGGGUAGUUUGACUGGGGCGGUCUCCUCCCAAAGAGUAACGGAGGAGCACGAAGGUGGGCUAAUCACGGUUGGACAUCGUGAGGUUAGUGCAAUGGCAUAAGCCCGCUUGACUGCGAGAAUGACAAUUCGAGCAGGUGCGAAAGCAGGUCAUAGUGAUCCGGUGGUUCUGAAUGGAAGGGCCAUCGCUCAACGGAUAAAAGGUACUCCGGGGAUAACAGGCUGAUACCGCCCAAGAGUUCAUAUCGACGGCGGUGUUUGGCACCUCGAUGUCGGCUCAUCACAUCCUGGGGCUGAAGUCGGUCCCAAGGGUAUGGCUGUUCGCCAUUUAAAGUGGUACGCGAGCUGGGUUUAGAACGUCGUGAGACAGUUCGGUCCCUAUCUGCCGUGGGCGUUGGAAGAUUGAAGGGGGCUGCUCCUAGUACGAGAGGACCGGAGUGGACGAACCUCUGGUGUUCGGGUUGUGUCGCCAGACGCAUUGCCCGGUAGCUAAGUUCGGAAUCGAUAACCGCUGAAAGCAUCUAAGCGGGAAGCGAGCCCUGAGAUGAGUCUUCCCUGAUACUUUAAGUAUCCUAAAGGGUUGUCGGAGACUACGACGUUGAUAGGUCAGGUGUGUAAGUGCUGUGAGGCAUUGAGCUAACUGAUACUAAUUGCCCGUGAGGCUUAACCAUACAACACCCAAGGGGUUU